UACGUAGGGUGCAAGCGUUGUCCGGAAUUAUUGGGCGUAAAGAGCUCGUAGGCGGUUUGUCGCGUCUGCUGUGAAAACCCGAGGCUCAACCUCGGGCCUGCAGUGGGUACGGGCAGACUAGAGUGCGGUAGGGGAGAUUGGAAUUCCUGGUGUAGCGGUGGAAUGCGCAGAUAUCUGGAGGAACACCGGUGGCGAAGGCGGCAUCCUGGACCGGCAUUGACGCUGAGGAGCGAAAGCUAGGGGAGCAAACAGG
rnacentral:rRNA from 1 species